CGGCGAGUGAAGCGGCAACAGCUCAAAUUUGAAAUCUGGCGCAAGCCCGAGUUGUAAUUUGUAGAGGAUGCUUCGGCGUCGGCCCCGUUCUAAGUUCCUUGGAACAGGACGUCCUAGAGGGUGAGAACCCCGUCUUCGAUCGGGUCGCCGUCGCCAUGUGAAGCUCCUUCGACGAGUCGAGUUGUUUGGGAAUGCAGCUCUAAGCGGGAGGUAAAUUUCUUCUAAAGCUAAAUAACGGCCAGAGACCGAUAGCGCACAAGUAGAGUGAUCGAAAGAUGAAAAGCACUUUGGAAAGAGAGUUAAAAAGUACGUGAAAUUGUUGAAAGGGAAGCUCAAGCUGCCAGACUUGGCCGCGCCUCUUCGGUGGCGCGGGCAGGCCAGCAUCAGUUCGGGCGGCCUGAUAAAGACCUUUGGAAUGUAGCUCCCCCGGGAGUGUUAUAGCCUUGGGUGUAAUGGGGUCAGCCUGGACUGAGGAUCGCGUUCGCUAGGAUGCUGGCGUAAUGGCAGUUUGCGACCCGUCUUGAAACACGGACCAAGGAGUCUAACAUCUGUGCGAGUGUUUGGGUGUAAAACCCAUGCGCGUAAUGAAAGUGAACGGAGGUGGGAAGCGCAAGCUGCACCAUCGACCGAUCCUGAUGUCUUCGGAUGGAUUUGAGUAAGAGCAUAGCUGUUGGGACCCGAAAGAUGGUGAACUAUGCCUGAAUAGGGUGAAGCCAGAGGAAACUCUGGUGGAGGCUCGCAGCGGUUCUGACGUGCAAAUCGAUCGUCAAAUUUGGGUAUAGGGGCGAAAGACUAAUCGA
rnacentral:rRNA from 1 species